rnacentral:lncRNA from 1 species
GCGUUGUUGGCGGAAGCUCAAGGCUUGCGGUGGGCUAUGGUGAUGGCGAGGGAGCUUGGCUUCAUGACUGUGUGCCUGGAGACGGAUUGCUUACAGGUCUUUAAUGCUUGGAAUGGUUCCUCAGGUGGUAGUUCUUAUUUGGAUUCUAUUGUAGCAGAUUGUCAUCGUUUAGUUUCUCAAUUUCAUUAUGUUUCUAUUUCUUUUGUACGCCGUAGUGGCAAUGCGGUUGCGGAUUAUUUAG